GGGCGUGUAGCUCAGUUGGUAGAGCGUGUCAUUAGCAUCUUGAUCUUGACAAGGUCUUUGGUUCGAUUCCUAACUCGUCCA
rfam:Trichosporon oleaginosus strain IBC0246 unplaced genomic scaffold CC85scaffold_1, whole genome shotgun sequence.